AGUUCGAUUCUGGCUCAGAUUGAACGCUGGCGGGAUGCUUUUACACACAUGCAAGUCGAACGGCAGCACGGACUUCGGUCUGCGGCGAGUGGCGAACGGGUGAGUAAUGUAUCGGAACGUGCCUAGUAGCGGGGGAUAACUACGCGAAAGCGUAGCUAAUACCGCAUACGGCCCUUCGGGGGAAAGCGGGGGACCUUCGGGCCUCGCACUAUUAGAGCGGCUUUGCUAUCGGAUUAGCUAGUUGGUGGGUAACGGCUCACCAAGGCGACGAUCCGUAGCUGGUUUGAGAGGACGACCAGCCACACUGUUGGGACUGGAGACACGCCCAGACUCUACGGGAGGCAGCAGUGGGGAAUUUUGGACAAUGGGGGAAACCCUGAUCCAGCCAUCCCGCGCCAGGGUGAUGAAGGCUCUCGGGUUGUAAAGCACUUUGGCAGGAAAGAAACGGCACGGGAUAAUACCCCGUGCAACUGACGGUACCUGCAGAAUAAGCACCGGCUAACUACGUGCCAGCAGCCGCGGCAUUACGUAGGGUGCAAGCGUUAAUCGGAAUUAAUAAAGCGGUAAAGCGCGCGGCAGGCGGUUCGGAAAGAAAGAUGUGAAAUCCCAGAGCUUAACUUUGGAACUGCAUUUUUAACUACCGAGCUAGAGUGUGUCAGAGGGAGGUGGAAUUCCGCGUGUAGCAGUGAAAUGGCGUAGAUAUGCGGAGGAACACCGAUGGCGAAGGCAGCCUCCUGGGAUAACACUGACGCUCAUGCACGAAAGCGUGGGGAGCAAAAUGGGAUUAGAUACCCUGGUAGUCCACGCCCCAACGAUGUCAAUCCAGCUGUUACAGCCUGGUAGCGCAGCUAACGCGUGAAGUUGACCGCCUGGGGAGUACGGUCGCAAGAUUAAACUCCAAAGAAUGACGGGGACCCGCACAAGCGUGGAUGAUGUGGAUUAAUUCGAUGCACCGCGAAAACUCAUUCACCUUGACAUAAUCGAACUCGAAGAGAUUUGGGAGUGCUCGCAAGAGAACCGGAACACAGGUGCUGCAUGGCUGUCGCUUGUGCUCGUGUCGUGAGAUGCUGGGUUAAGUCCCGGCAACGAGCGCAACCUUGUCAUUAGUUGCCACGGCAUGUUGACUUCGGCAUCGAGACCGGGCGCACGAAAUCGGGAGACAGGGAUGACGUCAAGUCCUCAUGGCCUCUUAUGGGUAGGGCUUCUACACGUCAUACAAUGGUCGGGACAGAGGGUCGCCAACCCGCGAUGGGAGCCAAUCCCCAGAAACCCGAUCGUAGUCCGGAUCGCAGUUCGCAACUCGACUGCGUGAAGUCGGAAAUCGCUAGUAAUCGCGGAUCAGCAUGUCGCGGUGAAUACGUUCCCGGGUCUUGUACACACCGCCCGUCACACCAUGGGAGUGGGUUUUACCAGAAGUAGUUAGCCUAACCGGAGGCGAUCAUCACGGUAGGAUUCAUGAUCAGCGUGAAGCCGUAACAAGGUAG
rnacentral:rRNA from 1 species